rnacentral:rRNA from 1 species
UCUUCCCUCUGGCGGCGUGCCUAAUACAUGCAAGUAGAACGCUGAAGGAAGGAGCUUGCUCUUUCCGGAUGAGUUGCGAACGGGUGAGUAACGCGUAGGUAACCUGCCUGGUAGCGGGGGAUAACUAUUGGAAACGAUAGCUAAUACCGCAUAACAGUAGAUGUUGCAUGAUAUCUACUUAAAAGGUGCAAUUGCACCACUACCAGAUGGACCUGCGUUGUAUUAGCUAGUUGGUGAGGUAACGGCUCACCAAGGCGACGAUACAUAGCCGACCUGAGAGGGUGAUCGGCCACACUGGGACUGAGACACGGCCCAGACUCCUACGGGAGGCAGCAGUAGGGAAUCUUCGGCAAUGGACGGAAGACUGACCGAGCAACGCCGCGUGAGUGAAGAAGGUUUUCGGAUCGUAAAGCUCUGUUGUAAGAGAAGAACGAUGGUGAGAGUGGAAAGUUCACACUGUGACGGUAUCUUACCAGAAAGGGACGGCUAAGUACGUG